AACCCUUCGGGGUGAGUGGCGCACGGGUGCGUAACGCGUGGGAAACCUGCCCUUAGGUUUGGAAAUAACGUUUCGAAAGGUAACGCUAAUACCAAAUAAUGUCUUCGGCCCAAAGAUUUAUCGCCUUUGGAUGGGCCCGCGUUGGAUUAGCUAGUUGGUGAGGUAAAGGCUCACCAAGGUCGACGAUCCAUAGCUGGUCUUAGAGGAUGAUCAGCCACACUGGGACUGAGACACGGCCCAUACUCCUACGGGAGGCACAGUGGGGAAUCUUAGACAAUGGGCGCAAGCCUGAUCUAGCC
rnacentral:rRNA from 1 species